UUUAUGGAGAGUUUGAUCCUGGCUCAGGAUGAACGCUGGCGGCGUGCCUAAUACAUGCAAGUCGAGCGAACGGACGAGAAGCUUGCUUCUCUGAUGUUAGCGGCGGACGGGUGAGUAACACGUGGAUAACCUACCUAUAAGACUGGGAUAACUUCGGGAAACCGGAGCUAAUACCGGAUAAUAUUUUGAACCGCAUGGUUCAAAAGUGAAAGACGGUCUUGCUGUCACUUAUAGAUGGAUCCGCGCUGCAUUAGCUAGUUG
rnacentral:rRNA from 1 species